GCCGCGUGAGGGAUGAAGGCCUCUGGGCUGUAAACCUCUUUUAUCAAGGAAGAAGAUCUGACGGUACUUGAUGAAUAAGCCACGGCUAAUUCCGUGCCAGCAGCCGCGGUAAUACGGGAGUGGCAAGCGUUAUCCGGAAUUAUUGGGCGUAAAGCGUCCGCAGGCGGUUUUACAAGUCUGUCGUUAAAGCGUGGAGCUCAACUCCAUUUCAGCGAUGGAAACUGUAAGACUCGAGUGUGGUAGGGGCAGAGGGAAUUCCCGGUGUAGCGGUGAAAUGCGUAGAUAUCGGGAAGAACACCAGUGGCGAAAGCGCUCUGCUGGGCCAUAACUGACGCUCAUGGACGAAAGCCAGGGGAGCGAAAGGGAUUAGAUACCCCUG
rnacentral:rRNA from 1 species